AGAGUUUGAUCCUGGCUCAGGAUGAACGCUAGCGGCAGGCUUAACACAUGCAAGUCGAGGGGCAGCGGGGAGGAAGCUUGCUUUCUCCGCCGGCGACCGGCGCACGGGUGAGUAACACGUAUGCAACCUGCCCCUGUCAGGGGGACAACCCGCCGAAAGGCGGGCUAAACCCGCGUACAUGCCACCGGGGCAUCCCGGAGGCAGGAAAGGCUUCGGCCGGACAGGGAUGGGCAUGCGGCGCAUUAGGCAGUAGGCGGGGUAACGGCCCACCUAACCGACGAUGCGUAGGGGUUCUGAGAGGAAGGUCCCCCACACUGGUACUGAGACACGGACCAGACUCCUACGGGAGGCAGCAGUGAGGAAUAUUGGUCAAUGGUCGGGAGACUGAACCAGCCAAGCCGCGUGAGGGAUGAAGGUACAGAGUAUCGUAAACCUCUUUUGUCAGGGAACAAAGGCGGGGACGUGUCCCCGGAUGAGUGUACCUGAAGAAAAAGCAUCGGCUAACUCCGUGCCAGCAGCCGCGGUAAUACGGAGGAUGCGAGCGUUAUCCGGAUUUAUUGGGUUUAAAGGGUGCGCAGGCGGUCUGUUAAGUCAGCGGUCAAAGCCCGGGGCUCAACCCCGGCCCGCCGUUGAAACUGGCAGUCUCGAAUUGGAGAGAAGUAUGCGGAAUGCGCGGUGUAGCGGUGAAAUGCAUAGAUAUCGCGCAGAACUCCGAUUGCGAAGGCAGCAUGCCGGCUCCACACUGACGCUGAGGCACGAAAGCGUGGGUAUCGAACAGGAUUAGAUACCCUGGUAGUCCACGCAGUAAACGAUGAAUGCUGGCUGUCCGGGGGGGAUUGACCCCUGGGUGGCGAAGCGAAAGCGAUAAGCAUUCCACCUGGGGAGUACGCCGGCAACGGUGAAACUCAAAGGAAUUGACGGGGGUCCGCACAAGCGGAGGAACAUGUGGUUUAAUUCGAUGAUACGCGAGGAACCUUACCCGGGCUCAAACGGGGAGUGACUCAGGCAGAGACGCCUGUUUCCCACGGGACACUCCCCGAGGUGCUGCAUGGUUGUCGUCAGCUCGUGCCGUGAGGUGUCGGCUUAAGUGCCAUAACGAGCGCAACCCCCGCGUGCAGUUGCUAACAGAUAACGCUGAGGACUCUGCACGGACUGCCGGCGCAAGCCGCGAGGAAGGCGGGGAUGACGUCAAAUCAGCACGGCCCUUACGUCCGGGGCGACACACGUGUUACAAUGGGUGGUACAGCGGGAAGCCAGGCGGCGACGCCGAGCGGAACCCGAAAUCCACUCUCAGUUCGGAUCGGAGUCUGCAACCCGACUCCGUGAAGCUGGAUUCGCUAGUAAUCGCGCAUCAGCCAUGGCGCGGUGAAUACGUUCCCGGGCCUUGUACACACCGCCCGUCAAGCCAUGGGAGCCGAGGGCGCUUGAAGUGCGUCGCCGCGAGGCGCGCCCUAGAGCGAAAUCGGUGACUGGGGCUAAGUCGUAACAAGGUAACC
rnacentral:rRNA from 1 species